GUUCCAGACGGACCCUUGAGGGGUUGAAGC
rfam:Halanaeroarchaeum sulfurireducens strain HSR2, complete genome.